UUUUUCCUACGGGGGGCAGCAGUGGGGAAUAUUGCACAAUGGGGGAAACCCUGAUGCAGCGACGCCGCGUGAGUGAAGGAGUAUUUCGGUAUGUAAAGCUCUAUCAGCAGGGAAGAAAAUGACGGUACCUGACUAAGAAGCCCCGGCUAACUACGUGCCAGCAGCCGCGGUAAUACGUAGGGGGCAAGCGUUAUCCGGAUUUACUGGGUGUAAAGGGAGCGUAGACGGCAGCGCAAGUCUGAAGUGAAAUCCCAUGGCUUAACCAUGGAACUGCUUUGGAAACUGUGCAGCUGGAGUGCAGGAGG
rnacentral:rRNA from 1 species